AGAGUUUGAUCCUGGCUCAGGACGAACGCUGGCGGCGUGGAUUAGGCAUGCAAGUCGAACGGUAUAAACCUUUCGGGGUUUAGAGAGUGGCGAACGGGUGAGUAACACGUAGGUAAUCUACCCUCAAAACGGGGACAACCCAGGGAAACUUGGGCUAAUACCGGAUGCGUGCAAGCAAUGUUUUGGCUGUUAAUGCUAUUCGCGGAAGUGAGUAGUGUUAAUGGUUGAGAGCAUUAUUUGCAUAAAAGGUGGCAUAUGCUGCCGUUUGAGGAUGAGCCUGCGUCCUAUUAGUUAGUUGGUGAGGUAAUGGCUUACCAAGGCGAUGAUAGGUAGGCGGCCUUAACGGGUGGUCGCCCACACUGGGAUUGAGAGACGGCCCAGACUCCUACGGGAGGCAGCAGUCGAGAAUAGUCUACAAUGGACGGAAGUCUGAUAGUGCGACGCCGCGUGAACGAAGAAUCCCUUCGGGGUGUAAAGUUCUUUUAUACGUGAGCAGUGCCCUUUAUAUGAAUAGUAUAGAGGGAGGGAUUUAAGCGUAUGAAUAAGCAACGGCUAACUCCGUGCCAGCAGCCGCGGUAACACGGGGGUUGCAAGCGUUGUCCGGAAUUACUAGGCGUAAAGUGCAGGUAGGCGGAUAGAUAAGUUUAAGGUUAAAGGCUACGGCUUACCCGUAGUAAGGCGUUAGAUACUGUUUAUCUGGAAUGCGGUUGAGGGAGACAGAAUUCCUGGUGUAGCGGUGGAAUGCGCAGAGAUCAGGAGGAAUACCGAAGGCGAAGGCAGUCUUCUAAGCCGAUAUUGACGCUAAACUGCGAAGGUGUGGGGAUCAAACAGGAUUAGAUACCCCGGUAGU
rnacentral:rRNA from 1 species